CAAAUGGUCUUGUUUGCUCCAGAGAAGCGGUUGGCAGAGGGCACUUUGCUUCAAGCAGGCUGGCCCAAGCGUGAAGGUCACCUUUUCUUUCUGGCAAAAAGAGGCCGGAGUGGUAAGCAUAGAAACUGGCCUGGCCUUGGACACUGUGCUUGUGGAGCUGCAGAAGGAGCCCAUGACUUCUCUCCUUCCCAGCGUUCUGUACGAGACUGAAGGCAGGGCUCCCGCUCCAAGCAAGGACUUCCACCACCUGGCCAUCACCAAAACUGAGGUUAUCUGGAAGUCACGGAUGAUUUCUCUCCACCCAGACCAAGAAAAAAUGCUCCCAAGAGAGGAGAGGCAUAACCUUGCCAGCAGAAUAACACAGUGUCAAGCUUGUGGAAUGCCUAUAGGAAGAAAAGUCAUGGGAAAAACCUGGCAGAUACAGAAAGUGUUUGGGAAAGAAGUAUUGGAUUAUUCCUUGAAUCUGUGUCAGGGAAAAUUUGAUUUGUUAGUUCGCAUGCCUGACAACAUAAUCCUACAGAUCUUCCCCUUUCUUGAUUUGGAUGACAUUGGGCAGCGGUCAAAAACCUGCAAAAAAUUCCAAAAGAUGCAAACAUUCUGUGUGUCUAUAAAUGGCUUGAAGCACACUCUGCAAUUCUAGUUGGACUGCACGGUGUGGAUACACUGGUGUCGGCAUCCACGUUGCUGAGCUCUCACUCAGCUGUUCUGAGGGGCAGAGCGACAGCUGCUGUGUAGCGAUGAAAAAUUCUGGGAGAAAUUUAGAACUUCACAAGAUAAACAUGCUUUUGAUACAAAGAAAAUAGGAAUAACCAUUUACAAGAAGAAACUGCUAGCUUUCCACCAAAAUGCAGCCAGCAGAAGCUCACAUGGAGAGAAGACAGAGAGCAUUUUUCUAAACUGAAGUGACAAAAUUUUAACAAUUAAGAUUAAAAUAGAAUUUUCAUAUAAAAUUACUAUCAUUAGAUCUUAUCACAGAGACUAGGUUGAAGCUAUUAUCUGGUAGAUUUAAGUAGGAAAAUAAAAAACUCUUGACUCAAUUUUCUCUUUCUUUACUGCUAUCAACCUAUUAACAGAUCAAGUGAAUCAAAUACCUACUUAACCUCACACACGUCUUAAUUUUAAAGAUGGGAAGAGCAGCACAGGAAGCAAAGCUGUUCACAGCACAGAUGACUCUUAUGUCUUCACUGGUGAAGGUGGACACCAAUGGGGGUUCAUGAUAGAGAAGAAAAUAAAUACCAUCUCAUAAUGAGAAGGGUGAGAUUUGUGAC